GUAGGUGGCAAGCGUUGUCCGGAAUUAUUGGGCGUAAAGCGCGCGCAGGCGGUUCUUUAAGUCUGAUGUGAAAUCCCACGGCUCAACCGUGGAGGGUCAUUGGAAACUGGAGAACUCGAGUACAGAAGAGGAAAGCGGAAUUCCACGUGUAGCGGUGAAAUGCGUAGAGAUGUGGAGGAACACCAGUGGCGAAGGCGGCUUUCUGGUCUGUAACUGACGCUGAGGCGCGAAAGCGUGGGGAGCAAACAGGGAUUAGAUACCCUGGUAGUCCACGCCGUAAACGAUGAGUGCUAAGUGUUAGGGGGGUUUCCGCCCCCUUAGUGCUGCAGCUAACGCAUUAAGCACUCCGCCUGGGGAGUACGGCCGCAAGGCUG
rnacentral:rRNA from 1 species